ensembl:lncRNA
GGUGGAGCCAGGACAGCUGGCCUGGAUUGGCCAAGGGGAUAUUCAAUACCUUGUGAUAUCAUGCAAAGGCUGUAAACCUGUAGGGAGUUAGCUGGGAAGGUAGUCACUGUUUGGGUGGAUUGUCUUUAUGACAGUGAAUGGCUGUGUGGUGCUAAGCUGUCUGCCAGUUUAAACUACAGCAAAGGCAACUUGGGAUCCUGAUUCAAUAUUUAAGUUACUGAUAUCCUUCAGAAUCCAUAGAUUUUUAAUGAGACUAGUUAAAGAGCAUGUACUUAUUAUGGUAGCUAAGGGUGCUGUUAGGCCUUACAAACUUGCCUACCUUCCCCUUCAUAUCUGUUACUGAAACAGCAGGCUGUACACUUACAUGAGGAAUGAAUUCCUGCAGAUUCACAGAAAACAAGAAGUUACAUGAAGAGUCUUUCCACCUCAUUUUCAAGGAGAGAGUUGUUUUUCUUCAGCAUCCUUUCAGAGACACUAAAGCGGAACUUCUGUCUCAAGCUGCGAAUUCAGUAUGAUACAAGAAAAAGAAGUGCUGAAUGAGUGUCUGAAAAAUGCUUAUCAACUUGUGGCAAGUCUUAUAUAAUAUUUUUAAUGUGUAAGUCAUAUAUUCUCCAUUGUAAUUAUGGACUAUGCAAAUAAGAAAGAACAGCAGAUAACUUUGGUAAAGUUUUUGAUGCUUUUUUAUUAGUCAUUAUUUUAUAUUUAGUCAAAAGAGCAUGAUCGUGAUUCUAUUUCUGGAGAAGAGUUGUAAAACAGUGAUAAGUACACCAACAAUGUUAACUGUAAGAGGCUGUAAAAGUAUAUGUAAAGAGUUGGUUCCUCAAAGGUUUCUUGCUUGUGACCAUGGUCAGUGCUUUUAUUAAUGGGA